rfam:Triticum aestivum genome assembly, contig: Triticum_aestivum_CS42_TGACv1_scaffold_342706_4DL
AAUUUUUUUUGAAGCACUGACGCCUAUUUCUAUAGGAGAGACGCCCAAUUAAGCGUCUGCCUUAUACAAAUAAGCACCGGUGCUUAAGGAAAGCC